rnacentral:rRNA from 1 species
UACGGAGGGUGCAAGCGUUAUCCGGAUUUACUGGGUUUAAAGGGUGCGUAGGCGGCCCUGUAAGUCAGUGGUGAAAUACUCUAGCUUAACUAGAGGGGUGCCAAUGAUACUGCAGGGCUUGAGUACAGAUGAGGUAGGCGGAAUUGACGGUGUAGCGGUGAAAUGCAUAGAUAUCGUCAAGAACACCGAUAGCGAAGGCAGCUUACUGGGCUGUAACUGACGCUAAUGCACGAAAGUGUGGGGAUCAAACAGG